rnacentral:rRNA from 1 species
UGACCUCGAAUCAGGUGGGACUACCCGCUGAAUUUAAGCAUA